AGUGAACGCUGGCGGUAGGCCUAACACAUGCAAGUCGAACGGCAGCACAGUAAGAGCUUGCUCGUACGGGUGGCGAGUGGCGGACGGGUGAGGAAUACAUCGGAAUCUACUUUUUCGUGGGGGAUAACGAAGGGAAACUUACGCUAAUACCGCAUACGACCUACGGGUGAAAGCAGGGGAUCUUCGGACCUUGCGCGAUUGAAUGAGCCGAUGUCGGAUUAGCUAGUGGGCGGGGUAAAGGCCCACCAAGGCGACGAUCCGUAGCUGGUCUGAGAGGAUGAUCAGCCACACUGCAAGUGAGACACGGUCCAGACUGCUACGGGAGGCAGCAGUGGGGAAUAUUGGACAAUGGGCGCAAGCCUGAUCCAGCCAUACCGCGUGGGUGAAGAAGGCCUUCGGGUUGUAAAGCCCUUUUGUUGGGAAAGAAAAGCAGCAGGUUAAUACCCCGCUGUUCUGACGGUACCCAAAGAAUAAGCACCGGCUAACUUCGUG
rnacentral:rRNA from 1 species